rnacentral:misc_RNA from 1 species
CUCUCGUGCGUUGGACAGUGUCAACUGUAAUGAAGGGCGGGAGGGCACGCGAACUAUCAGUAUGUCGUGUAAAGAAUAUGAAGACAAUGUGUUAUCGUUAGCUAAAGACUGGUGCUCAGAUGUAAACAGUGAAACAUUUACUUCUUUGCUUCAAGAAUUGAUUUUUCAUCUCAGUGGAAAACAUAAAGAUGAAGUGUUCCGUCUGUUUCAAAAGCAAUUACAAAAGCUUAGACAAGGAUGUAGCUAUGAUUCACUGGAUGAAGCUGACGAGUUCAGCAUAGCAGAGGAAGUAAAAAAUAAAAUUGCAAGUAGUCAUGGAGAGAGAGAAGCAAAUCGUUUCUCUGGUAUUUACCGGCAUCUUCGAGGAUGUACGCUUCUAACCAACUUGAGAAACACCUUGGCCUUCAUGCAGAGAAGCGCUGUACAAGAAUCAGCGGAUGAUGCAAAUUCAUCAUUUGACUCACAAAAUUUAUCAUUGAGAAAUAUUACUAUUCGUAGUUCAUCACAGGCUUCACGAACACCAUUUGCAUCAACAUUGCAAAGACACCCAGACAUGUUUGACACUGUGUCCUCUCUUCCAUCCAAUUUUGCUUCUAACACUUUAUCAGAUGCUUACCAUUCAUCCAGAGCCAUUUCAUAUGCUCAUGACUUGCCACAAGGAACCAUUGCUCACCUAAAUGGGUGUCCAGUAGUAAUGCCUGUACCACCACCGUCCAGAAACCCCUAUAAGAUGUCAGUAUCAGAAACUGUCUUGAUCCAAGAACUGAUAUAUUGCUUUCAAGGAAUAGGAGGAAAAAUCUUAAUAGAGGAUCCUGUCUCUCAAGGCUUCAAAAUAGAUCCAAAGGUGGACCUCCGUCCAUCGGUCCGGCAGCAAGUACUCCGUUUGGCGGAGGUUGGGUGGCUGCACAACCAAGUGCGACAGUUCUGUGAUGCUACGAGACCGGCUGGACUUGUUAACCAGAGCCUUGUAGCUGCCCUACAUGAUGAACUGACAGAAUACUACAGAUUGAUUGCUGUACUGCAGUCUAGGUUACAGAAGCAGUCAGAGGCUGUAGUUGAUUCACCGCUAGCAGAAGAGCAACUGCCAUCACUGACAUUGAGUCAAUUGGCAGUAUGUGUACGGAGCCCCACACUGAGGUUGCAGCUGUUGCUGUCACUGGCAGAAGCAUGCCGUGGCCGUCGUGGUGGUGCUCUGGCAUCCUGUGUACAUAGUUUUUUGCAGCACGGUGAUCCAAAUUUACGCCGUAGUGUACGCACACUCUUGGCAGCAGUAUGUCGUCCCAUGUAUGUAAUGCUAAGUCGGUGGAUUUUGGAUGGGGAAUUGGAGGAUCCUUAUAAUGAAUUCUUCAUAGCUGCAAAUCCUGAUGUGAAAGGAGACCGCUUAUGGCACGAUAAAUAUUAUGUUCAGGAAGCUCUUGUACCAAGUUUCAUAUCUUUGGCACAAGCUCGCAAAAUUCUUGCUACGGGCAAGAGCAUAAACUUCCUUCGUGAAGUGUGCCAAGACCACACGCCUAUAAAAGGCCGUGAAGCCCUCAGGCUCGCUUUGGAAAGCACCAACGUGGAAGCACUCUUUGUUGAGGACCAGGAUGGAGAGCUGCAGGCAAUGCUAGAACAAGCUUACCGUGAAACGUCUCGUCGUGUUUUGGAUGUUCUCAACACUCAGUACAAAUUCAUGGACCACCUGCAAGCUUUAAGGAGAUAUCUCCUGCUGGGGCAAGGGGACUUCAUUAGGCACCUUAUGGAGUUACUUGAACCUGAGUUGGCAAAGCCUGCCUCACAGUUGUAUCCUCACUGUUUAUCGGGGAUCCUGGACUCUGCUGUUCGUUCUACUAAUGCCCAGUACGAAGAUGAAGAUAUUCUUCAGAGGUUGGAUGUGAGAUUACUCGAAAUGUCAAAAGGAGAUACUGGUUGGGAUGUUUUCACAUUGGACUACCAUGUUGUCGGUCCAAUAGGAACAGUUUUUGCUAUGAACAUGUCUUCCUACUUGAUGCUGUUCAAUGCUCUUUGGCGAGCAAAACGAAUGGAAUUUGUGCUAAGUCUGGCUGUCAAGCGACAGCUAACAGCUGCUAAGCAGAUGAGAUGUCUGCCUGGAAUGAAGCCUUUAUUGCAGAGAUUACAUCUCCUUAUCUCUGAAAUGGUGCACUUUGUACAUCAAGUGCAGUACUACACACUAUUUGAGGUGCUGGAAUGCUCCUGGGAGGCAUUCAACAAAGAAGUCCAGCAAGCAGAAGGCUUGGAUGAUGUCAUUAGAGCACAUGAUGCGUUCCUGGCAACAGUUCGUGCGGGGGCUUUCCUAGAUGAAGGAACACAGAGUUUGGCAGCCCAACUGCGGUCUGUGUAUGACUUGAUGCUACAGCUCCAAGGCCUAGAAGAACAGCUACACAAUAGAGCAUCAGUGGAGCUGGAAGCUCGUAAAGAGUAUGAGAAGCUAGUUGAAAAAUCUGGCACAAACAUAUCAAUGGAGGAAAGGGAAUCUACACGAGUUAAUGAAUUUACAAAUAAAUACCUGCCUCACAUGCGCACUCAGUUGAGUGUACUGGCUAAAAGCUAUCAGGAUUUGGUGAAGAAGUUUCUGCUCAUGUUGACAAGUCAACCAGAACUAACAUUGCAACUAUUGAGUUUCCGUCUGGACUUCAAUGAGCACUAUCGAAGAUCAGAUUCAAGGCUAAAUGCACCUCUUACGUACCAGCAUCGUCGUCUCAGUGAACUGGGAGGCAAGCAUCUGUCUCCAACAUGCGUCAAAUGACAGUCAGCUCCAGUACCUUCUGCUGAGCUUCAGAAGGUAAAGAUUUCAGAUAGAAAAUGUUUCAUUCCUGGAUGGGCCUCAGUAGAGAUUUCCUUGAUUGCCAGUUGAAGCUCCCUUAUAGUGUUGGGAUGCAUAGAAGGUCAUCCUUCACCAUGAGAUCAAAUGGAGUUACUUGGGUGUUAACAAGUGGCAAGCUUUCAGUUUUUUACCCAUGGCACUACCUCCCAAAGAAGGAAAAUAAACUGCUCUUUUUUGUGAGUGAAUAUGGUGGAUUGAUGAACCAGUGGCUGAUAAAACAUUGAUGCUUUUACUGUAGAUUGUGAUCUGUACAAAAAUCUCUCUAUAUUUUUGUACUGAAAUCAUAAGUGAAGCUGCACUUAAGAAGAAUGCUGUGAACCUGCUAAUUUUUGGCUCUCACCAAAAGGAAAAAUCACUGUAUCUUGUGUAUACACGUCUCAAAUUCAUUUAGGGUUUAGUAUUGUUCAUUCAUGUCGGGUCUCGUGCUUUUGUUAAUUUCCAUUCCUUGUCAAAUCAUGCGAAAUAAGUUAGUUAUGAUAAAAAUGUAGUAUGUAAACUGUAACUUAGUGUUAACUGUCAACAGAAAAUUCUGCCGUUUGAUAUUACUCAGUAGCAAGUAAGAUUUUAUGUUGUUACUCGUUUACAAUCCUGAGUUAUCUGUUUUUGAACAUCUACAAUAGUCUUUAAUUUUCUUGUUUCAGAUCUCUGUUUCACUGUGAUGUGUAAGGCUGAUAUUUACCAGAUACUAUUUAUUUUCCUUUAUCCAGUAUGUCAGACAUUAGUAGCAUUUUCUGUAUCUGUUGAAUUAUAUUUUGUAGUCAUUUAUGUUGAUAUGUUUCUUGUUUUUUUUAUUUAAGAAUUUACCUCACUGUUGAUAAUAAUUUAAGGUCACUAAAGAAAUGUUUCUGUUAUUAUGUACAUUCUUUCUUUCUUUGAACAAAUUCUGUUUUUCUAGUGUCAGGUACUGAUAAUGUUGUUUUCCUACUCCUUUGUAAAUUCUGUAUUUCAAGUUUUAUAUUUUCUGUAUUUAAUUUGCUCGUGAAUUGGCAGUUUUUGUGGAUUUAUGACAUUUUAAAAAUAUUUUCUUUUUUUUAUGACAGAAGUAGUGUCGUUUCUUACAGUAUCUGCAACAGCUACAGUUGCUGCUUUGACGAAGUAUUGUGUGGUGUGUGUUUUUUUGCCACAAUACCAGCUAUUAUGAACUAUGUAAGUGAAAACUUCUAUUCCUUGCACUUCAUAAGCUGCAACAACCCCCUUGUCUAGUUCAUUAGAAGUCCAACAGUCCUUCCCAGUUGCUAUUACUCAUUCCCUUUUCUACAUCCUUUAGAUGUUCAUUUGUUUCCUUUCUAACUUUUUCUGCUGAACUUCCUGUCAUGUGUUUGCCCAGUACCAGUUUCUUAAAUAUUCCAAUUUUCUCUUCUUUUCUCUAUCUCGAGAUGCCUCAAGCUUGAUACUCUUAAUAUGUGCAGAGGCAGUUUACCUAUAUCACACAGGACACGCAGCUGUAUUGCACAGCUUUUUGGAAAAGUUAACUUUUAGCAGUUGUGAAUUGAAAGUAACAGUACUGUUUGGGACUAUUUGUGCAUGAUUGUGUAAUAUUUUUAAACCAUUGUAAAUAAUUGAUCAUUGAAAUGUAUAUAUUUUCACAUAUUUGAUGAAUCAGUUCAUUGUAAUAUGAACUUUUCACAAUAGUGCCGACACAUUGUUUGCUUUACUUUGUUAACAAAGAU